rnacentral:rRNA from 1 species
AGAGUUUGAUCAUGGCUCAGGAUGAACGCUAGCGGCAGGCUUAAUACAUGCAGGUCGAGGGGUAACAUGGUAGCAAUACUGAUGACGACCGGCAAACGGGUGCGGAACACGUACAGAACCUUCCUUUAAGCGGGGGAUAGCCCAUAGAAAUGUGGAUUAAUACCCCAUAGUAUUGUUGGUUGGCAUCAAUUGACAAUUAAAGAUUUAUCACUUAAAGAUGGCUGUGCGGCUGAUUAGGUAGUUGGUUGGGGUAAUGGCCCACCAAGCCAGCGAUCAGUAACUGGUGUGAGAGCACGACCAGUCACACGGGCACUGAGACACGGGCCCGACUCCUACGGGAGGCAGCAGUAAGGAAUAUUGGUCAAUGGACGCAAGUCUGAACCAGCCAUGCCGCGUGAAGGAUGAAUGCCCUCUGGGUUGUAAACUUCUUUUAUCUGGGACGAAACAUUCUGAUUCUUCAGAACUUGACGGUACCAGAGGAAUAAGCACCGGCUAACUCCGUGCCAGCAGCCGCGGUAAUACGGAGGGUGCAAGCGUUAUCCGGAUUCACUGGGUUUAAAGGGUGCGUAGGUGGGUUGGUAAGUCAGUGGUGAAGUCUCCGUGCUUAACAUGGAAACUGCCAUUGAUACUACUGAUCUUGAAUUUUCUGGAGGUAAGCGGAAUAUGUCAUGUAGCGGUGAAAUGCUUAGAUAUGACAUAGAACACCAAUUGCGAAGGCAGCUUGCUACAGGGAUAUUGACACUGAGGCACGAAAGCGUGGGGAUCAAACAGGAUUAGAUACCCUAGUAGUCC